AGCAGGAGUGGUAGGGGUUCGACGAGCCAAACCCAAUGAAUAUAGUUGGUCACGAAUGUUUGAUCUUGAACAGAACUUACAACAUCAAUCAACAUGCCUUAAUCAAAAAUAUACCGCCAGAAGUACAGAAAAGAGUGGGAGUCUGUACCUAAAAAAAUGUCAAAUCAUAUUUUUUGCCGAGAUGGCCAGUCAAUUUGUGUAACGUUAUUGUGUAUCCAACGUAAUGACGCAGUUUUAUGUUACAACACAACGUAAUUUAGCAACUUUUAGCAACAAAUCAACCUGCCGCUCUAGCCAUUUACUGUGAAAAUUAGUUGGCAACACUGCUCUCAGCUGCUGCUUAGUCACUACAUGACUUCGCCUUCCGCGUGUUCACGAGACGGUUCGAAGAAACGUAAAUCUAUUGUAACGCUGUUCAGAAAUGAGGCAGAGAGAAAAGGCUCCAUCAUCAUAUCGAUCUAAUCGGUUGAGGCUUCAGAAGAGGGAGAUUCACCUGAGAUUCAGUCAAGUCUCCCACUCUGGUCGCGUCUAGACCCCUGGGGAGGCUCCAUGGAGGAGUACCUGCUGGAGAGGGAGCAUACUCUAGCAGUGGUUCUACCAGGAAGCCUGGCGAAAACGGCCCAGAUACAUGGGAGUAAACCUGUGAUGGACAUACUGGUCACACUCUGUGCCCUGAACCACCUGAAUCCAUCUGAGUUCACCAUAGAACUCCCAGAAACCAAAUCUCCUUCAAUCCCACCUCUCUGAUUGGAGCCAUGGAGGCUCACAGGAUCCUACUGAAACCUAAAGGGGGAGGGGAGAAGAUAAAGAGGCUGUACGUGCCAGAGGUCACUGUACGUCUGCUGAUCAACUACAAGAAGAACCAUAAGGUCGUUGUGAGGGUCAGCCCUAGAGUCCCUCUGGAGCGGCUCCUACCUGCGGUGUGUGUGAAGUGUUUGACCUGGAGUCCACCAUUUUAAUGAGAGCCAAUGGCUCUGAAGAACCUUUAAACCUGAGCAGGUCCCUCGGUGGCUAAGGGAACUGUACGCCAAGGACAUGGCAGCUGCCCCCCCCCCCACCAAGUAAAGGGAAGAAAGAGAAGGAGAAAGAGAACAGAGGAUUGUUCUGCUUAUUCAGGAGAAUUAAGAAGAAACCAGAAGAGUGUCUCUCAGUGAGUGCCCCUUUCUCACGUGGUCUGAAAAACCAGCGGGUGGCCAGCAUCAGCAUGAACUCCCUGGGUAUCCACUCCUCCAACACCCUGCCCAUGGACAACACCAUGGCCCCCAUGGCAGGCUCCCAAAGCGCCCCUGCUGACCUCAACGUCCAGCCGUUGACCUCUAGGAAGAAGAGGAGAGCCCCCCCGCCUCCUCCCUGUGCCACCACACCAUCAUCCUCCUGUGUUAACACCCACAAUGGAUCACCCCUGAGAUCAAAGGGAAUGGACAGUCACUUCACACACUGAAGGAGGAGAUGGGAGAGUGUGAGGGGGACCUGGACUCCCCAUCCUCAUCCCCAAACAUCUCCAGGCCUUUGAGUCAGCCUCGGGUGUCCCCCACUCCCCCUUCUACCCCCUCCACUAACCUCUAGAACCUUUCCACCCUCCAAUCCCUACCAUCCCUCUCCUCGCUGCCCUCCCUCCCCUGCCACCCUAGGGGAGAUACUAACCCCUUUCCUGCUUUGUCAAACCCGGGCCAACCUCAAGCAUCCUUCGUUCCCAACCCCAAGACCCGUCAACUCCACCAAUGAAGGCUUACCUGGGUCCUUGACACAGUCGGGUGGAAGUAAGGGACUCAGUCCCCUCUCUUUACUCAAACUCAAGACCAAGGACCCUGGUGAAGCUUGGAGGAGUCCCAGUCUUGAGGGAGGGGAUGACCACAUUUACCGUGGUGCCCCUAGGGCCGUCCCUGAAGGAGCAGAGAGGCUUGGAGGUGGACCUGACCCUGGCGAAGACCCAGGCCUUAGACCCAGCACAAACCAUUGAUGAACCCUCCAAUGGUGUUGCUGAACCUGGGUUGGAGCACCACCAGACAAGGAAGAAGACACUGGUAUCACUGGAGAGGUCAGAGGUUGAGGGAUCCACCCCAGAGCCUGAUAUGGAUUCUAAACUUUCUCCUCCAGGGUUUCCAGAAGGUUCUACUGACUGGGUCUUCAGUCCUCCAACCGUGUCUAGUCCUAUCGAGCUUUAACAGACCGCACCAAAUUCACCAGUGGUAGUCAAGCAGGAGAAUUCUGAGAUGGAGGCCCAGGAGGAGUCCGAAUCACCCACAGACAGUCUAGAUUCAGAACUACAGAAAAGUCUAGAGGUAGAAGUCCCAGAGGAGUCGGAUACACUCUCAGAGAUACCCAACACAUACACAGCUUUGGCCCACACCAAUGGAAUACCUGGAGAUGAGGUGACCUCAACUCCUGAACUACUGGAGAGCAGGGGAUUGUUCAGGAAGCCCAGUCUGGUGAUAGAGGAGGCAGAAGUGGACCGUUUCUGUUUCCCUCCUCCCCCUCCCCCUGUGUGCUAUGAUAAGGAGGUGGAGGAGACGGAGCCGGCCCAGUUACGAGUGAGGCCUCCUGGGGGAACAAAUCACCGCCCUUCCUCUUAUCCUCCCCCUUCUCUUCAUACGAUGAGUCAUACCUUCUGUGAAUCAGCAGAGGGAGACAAUCAGACUGAUGCCUCUUCUUCACCCAAACCGAACAUGAUUCAUUUGACUUCACCCAAACCAUACGUGCCUGCAGCCCUGGACAGGAAAACUGCCAUUUCCUCCUGCUUUACCCAGGCUGUGGCUCUAGCCGCCCAUAAGUCCCAGUCCUCCUGUCCUCGAAGGCCAGCACCAGACUUGCUUCCCUCCCUCUCCGGAUCCUCGCCCUCCACUGCUUUACUGCUAACCAAUGCGGUGAGUGAUGAUUUUGACCUGCACUGACACAGUGAUGACAUGCCCAUUUUGCCAUUGUAGCAACUGGAUUGGACCCAAAACUGAACCAUUGUUUACCCCUAUCAUACUACAAUGUGCUUCCUUCUAUACAUAAAGUUGCCAUUCUUAACUUUCAUGAUUUCUCUGUGAACCUCACAUGUUCCACAGGUGAACUCUUUACACCAGUGGAGGCUGGUGGGAGGAGCCAUAGGAGGACGGGCUCAUUGGAAUGGCAGGAAUGGAAUAAAUGGAACGGAGUGAAACAGGGUUUCUAUGUGUUGGAUACCCUUCCAUUCCAGACAUUCCAAUGAGCCUGCCCUCAUACAGCUCACCCCACCAGCCUCCACUGCAUUACACAGGAAAGAAGGGAUGGGCAUAUCUUUAUGGAAGUGUGUACAUUCUACAGUGUGAUUAUCAUUUUUUCUCUCUGGAAAGACGCCAUUUGUUACAUUAAAUGGCGACAUAUGCCUUUCUAAACAAUCCUGGCAGGCUGGUAUUCUUCUGAGACACCUUAGUGAUUGUCUGUUAUCUUCAUGUGUAUGUGCAAAAGGUGGUGUAUGGCUCUGUAGAAUACCUCUAUGGACAUGCUCACACUCUGUGUGACCUGGUGGAGGAAGGACCUAAUCUAAACGGGUGAUAUUCGUGUCUCUUGUCCUACAGGGGCCAUAAUGGCUUCAUAGUAAAUCUGUGAAAUGGAAGUUUCUGUUUAGGGUGAGGCAACUGCAGUGAAGUAGAGCCGGCCACCACAUAGUCACAUGACCUCCAAACGGACCCCACUUAGAGGUCGACUGACAAAUCCCAAAGAAGCCCAGGCCCCUGUUUUGCACUGGGAGUCAGCGCGUUAUAAAAACAACAUUUAUCCAAGACUUCAUCCAAGAGUUUGAUUAGUGUACAGGUCAUUUUAUGUUCACUGAAUGUUUGUUUUUGUAUCAUGCUACCUGAAUUAAUUGGAGGCAGUGCUGCCUUUUUCUUAUGUUAUUACGAUAUUUGACUUUUAUGCGAAGAUGUAUUUAUUUGACCUUGGUAGUACAGUAUUUAUGGGCUCUACAUUUUUGUACUUGGAGUUUCCUGCUGACUCGUUAGUGUUGAAAUGUGCCAAAACCGAGAUUAAAUCAUACGUAGUAAUCUCUCCUCAUCAUCUCUUUUUGUUUGCCAAGGACAAAACUCUGAAAUAAGACGACUUAAAAUGUUACAUUUCAUUCUGUACACACCUUUCUGAGUGAAUUAUUCUAGAUAUUUUCCCCCAGACAUGUAACAUUACUAUAAAUAAAUGAUAUGCCUUAAUCAACUAGUGUGCUGCUUUCUUUUGCCACUGGAGGGCAGGAGCACACCUCACAUAUCUCCUGCACAGAACCACUGAGUGAGCUGUUUUGUGAUCCACACUUGAUCAAUUAUUAGCAUUGACAUAUCCAGAUACUAAAGAAGAGCAUCAAUUAUCGUUCAUCUUCUUUGUCUUUACUGGUUAUACAUUUUUUUUAAAUGCAUUAGUGUGUUUUUAUUUCAAGCCUUGUUAUCUUUUCAAUUAUUAAGCUAUGGUUGGUAUUUGACAAGGAUAUUCUACAGGGUGCCAUGUUUAGAACAUUGCAGGAAGAUAUGUAAUAUGAAAUGGACUUGAUGUGAAAUAAAUCAUGUUCUUGCAAUGCA